UUUUCAUUGUAAGGUCCACUAAAAGUGUAAAUUGUAUAAAAAAAUUAUUGCAGUGAAGGUGUAAUUUUCAGAAAUUCUGUCGAUCUUGGUCUCCGGCUCUGUCGAUCUUGAUCUUGGUCUGUCGAUCUGUCGAUCUGUCGUCUCUUCUCUGUCGAUCUCCGUCUCUCUCUCUCUGUCGAUCUCCGUCGAUCUCGGUCUGUCUCUCUCUGUCGAUCGCCCUCCCAAACGAUCUCCGUCGAUGUCGGUCUGUCUUUCAAACACAACUUGAUUUUUCCCUUUUAAUUCUUUUCAGGGUGUAUUUACUGGACACUGUGGGACAAACCUUGACCACGGUGUUGUUGCUGUUGGAUACGGUACAGAAGAUGGUGUAGAUUACUGGGGUGUAUUUACUGGACACUGUGGGACAAACCUUGACCACGGUGUUGUUGCUGUUGGAUAUGGUACAGAAGAUGGUGUAGAUUACUGGGUUGUGAGGAACUCUUGGGGUUCAAACUGGGGAGAAAACGGGUACAUAAGGUUGGAGCGCAACAUCAAUUCCAUUGGUGGCAAGUGUGGGAUUGCUCAAAUGGCCUCAUACC